UGCCAGCCGCCGCGGUAAUACGGAGGGUGCAAGCGUUAAUCGGAAUUACUGGGCGUAAAGCGCGCGUAGGUGGUCAAGUCAGUCAGAUGUGAAAGCCCUGGGCUCAACCUGGGAACUGCAUCUGAUACUGCUUGACUAGAGUAUGGUAGAGGGGUGUGGAAUUUCCUGUGUAGCGGUGAAAUGCGUAGAUAUAGGAAGGAACACCAGUGGCGAAGGCGACACCCUGGACCAAUACUGACACUGAGGUGCGAAAGCGUGGGGAGCAAACAGGAUUAGAUA
rnacentral:rRNA from 1 species